UACAGAGGUGGCAAGCGUUGUUCGGAAUUACUGGGCGUAAAGGGCGCGUAGGCGGCCAUCUAAGUCAGACGUGAAAUCCCCCGGCUUAACCUGGGAACUGCGUCUGAUACUGGAAGGCUUGAGUAUGGGAGAGGGAUGUAGAAUUCCAGGUGUAGCGGUGAAAUGCGUAGAUAUCUGGAGGAAUACCGGUGGCGAAGGCGGCAUCCUGGACCAUUACUGACGCUGAGGCGCUAAAGCGAGGGGAGCAAACGGG
rnacentral:rRNA from 1 species